GGAAUGUGCCCCCCGCCCGCCCUGCUGCUGACGCCGGGCCUUUGUGCUGGGCCGGAAUGUCUUCCUGUCUUUCUCUGCCUGUGUUUUCCCCGGAUGCUGUGGGCUGAGCUGAGUUGCAUCCCAGGGGCCGCCUGGCCAAGAGCUGUGUCCGGCGUCCCAGGGGCGGGAGGAGGGGGGCAGCACCGGCUCCAGGCGAGCUGUGAUUUAAUAAGCAGACACUUAAGGCCCUGAUGCAGGGCCCAGCCCAUGCGGGACAGCCCUCUCCGCUAAUUGUCCAUUGGCUGCCGCCCGCCGUCCUGCCGGCGUCUCUGGGCUCAUUAGGAAAGGGAAGAGGGGGGUCUGGGAAGAGCCUCCUGCAGCUCCAGCGGGCUUCCGAGAUUUUUAUCACACUGGACAGCACAGUUACAUUCAUUCUGCUAAAGGAGGAUCAAAACAAGAGGUCAGCAAACUAUGGCCCAUGGAUCCAGUGCGGCCCACCACCUACUUUCACAGAGUGCAGAGGAAGCCUUGAAAAUGGAACUUCUCCAUAAUGCCUGC
rnacentral:lncRNA from 1 species